ensembl:lncRNA
GCCAGCAAGAAUCAGCUGAUGCAAUUCCAGCAAGCUUUCAGUCACAGCAUCAAGGAAGGAUAAAGAUUCAGUCUAGGAACAGAGAGACAGCCGUCCCUUCUGUCACUACGAAGCCACUCUGGGGAAUGGAAGCAGCUGCAGCUGUGGAAGCAGGGUGACUACAUCAGGAGUGGCUGCACAUUCAGACACGUGGAAAAUGAUGCAGAUGGCAGUUCUGCAUUUCAUCAAGGAGCUGCUCAGCACUGAUGCUCAGAGCUGUUCAGCAUGGGAUGUGGCAGGGCACAUCUUCAGCGAGUUCAGCCGGCUCUCUGACAGACUGGUGGUGGAAGGCUUUUUUGCUUUUGAAAUUGAGGAGGAAGGAGCUCUUCGAGCCCUGUGCAUGGACAUCCUGGGCCCACUGGAUGUCUCUGUGAGAGGGAUGACCAAACUCUCGUGGCCAAGGCUGCUGCAGUACAUGGUGCCCGCUGAGUACAGUGGCAUGCUUAUUCCCCUCUCCCACUGCCUCUGAAGUCUGGCUGAGAGAUGAGAGAGAGGAGGACAACAAGAAUAAGAGGACUCCAAUGUCACCAGCUCUGAG